rnacentral:rRNA from 1 species
AUAAAAGCUACUUUCGCAUGAAAAGAAGUCUAAAAGGCGGCGUAAAGCUGUCGCUAAAAGGGAUGGGACCUGCGAUGCAUUAGCUAGUUGGUAAGGUAACGGGCUUACCAAGGCGAUGAUGCAUAGCCCGAGUUGAGAGACUGAUCGGGCCACAUUGGGGACUGAGACACGGGCCCAAACUCCUACGGGAGGCAGCAGUAGGGAAUCUUCCACAAUGGACGAAAGUCUGAUGGAGCAAACGCCGCGUGAGUGAAGAAGGUUUUCGGAUCGUAAAGCUCUGUUGUUGGUGAAGAAGGAUAGAGGUAGUAACUGGCCCUUUAUUUGACGGUAAUCAACCAGAAAGUCACGGGCUAACUACGUGCCAGCAGCCGCGGUAAAU